rnacentral:rRNA from 1 species
AGGAUGAACGCUGGCAGCGUGCCUAACACAUGCAAGUCGAACGGUUAAGGCGGCUUCGGCCGCGUAUAAAGUGGCGAACGGGUGAGUAACGCGUGACCGACCUUCCCCCCGCACCGGGACAACCGCGGGAAACCGCGGCUGAUACCGGGUACUCCGGGGCCCCCGCAUGGGGGCCCCGGGAAAGCUCCGGCGGCGGGGGAUGGGGUCGCGUCCCAUCAGGUAGUAGGCGGGGCAACGGCCCACCUAGCCGACGACGGGUAGCCGGGUUGAGAGACCGACCGGCCACAUUGGGACUGAGAUACGGCCCAGACUCC